rnacentral:rRNA from 1 species
GUUUGAUCCUGGCUCAGGACGAACGCUGGCGGCGUGCCUAACACAUGCAAGUCGAGCGAAGUGUCUUUAGAUGAUAUUUUCGGAUUGAAUCUUUAGACAUCUUAGCGGCGGACGGGUGAGUAACGCGUGAGAAACCUGCCUUUCACAAAGGGAUAGCCUCGGGAAACUGGGAUUAAUACCUUAUGACACUUUAAAUUCGCAUGAAUUUGAAGUUAAAGCGUAAAGCGGUGAAAGAUGGUCUCGCGUCCCAUUAGUUAGUUGGUGAGGUAAUGGCUCACCAAGACAGCGAUGGGUAGCCGGCCUGAGAGGGUGAACGGCCACACUGGAACUGAGACACGGUCCAGACUCCUACGGGAGGCAGCAGUGGGGAAUAUUGCACAAUGGAGGAAACUCUGAUGCAGCGACGCCGCGUGAACGACGAAGGCCUUCGGGUCGUAAAGUUCUGUCCUUGGGGACGAUAGUGACGGUACCCAUGGAGGAAGCCCCGGCUAACUACGUGCCAGCAGCCGCGGUAAUACGUAGGGGGCGAGCGUUGUCCGGAAUUAUUGGGCGUAAAGGGUUCGCAGGCGGUUCUUUAAGUCAGAUGUUAAAUGCAUAGGCUCAACCUAUGAGUGCAUUUGAAACUGGGGAACUUGAGUUAAGGAGAGGAAAGUGGAAUUCCUAGUGUAGCGGUGAAAUGCGUAGAUAUUAGGAGGAAUACCAGUGGCGAAGGCGACUUUCUGGACUUAAACUGACGCUGAGGAACGAAAGCAUGGGGAGCAAACAGGAUUAGAUACCCUGGUAGUCCAUGCCGUAAACGAUGAGUGCUAGGUGUUGGGGGUCAAACCUCGGUGCCGCAGCUAACGCAUUAAGCACUCCGCCUGGGGAGUACGUACGCAAGUAUGAAACUCAAAGGAAUUGACGGGGNACCCGCACAAGCAGCGGAGCAUGUGGUUUAAUUCGAAGCAACGCGAAGAACCUUACCAGGGCUUG